UUUUCCACAGCUUUCUUGAACUUGUUACUCAACAAUGCAUCUCCGAGAACCAACUCGAGGAGGGCCUGUCUGAAUACCAUGUUCAAGAAAGCCUGUGGAAAG
rnacentral:pre_miRNA from 1 species